CAGUCGCCGCGGGAAUACGAAGGGGGCUAGCGUUGCUCGGAAUUACUGGGCGUAAAGGGCGCGUAGGCGGCGCUCCAAGUUAGGCGUGAAAUUCCCGGGCUCAACCUGGGGACUGCGCUUAAGACUGGAGUGCUUGAGGAUGGAAGAGGGUUGUGGAAUUCCCAGUGUAGAGGUGAAAUUCGUAGAUAUUGGGAAGAACACCGGUGGCGAAGGCGGCAACCUGGUCCAUUACUGACGCUGAGGCGCGAUAGCGUGGGGAGCAAACAGGAUUAGAUACCCCUGUAGUCCCUGUCUCUUAUAC
rnacentral:rRNA from 1 species